UGCAGUCUGGCUGCUGAGGUUAAGC
rnacentral:piRNA from 1 species